GGCCAGCAGCCGCGGUAAUACGUAGGGUGCAAACAUUAUCCGGAUUUAUUGGGCGUAAAGCGCUCGUAGGUGGUUUGGAAAGUUGGAUAUUAAAUAUCCCGGCUCAACCGGGAGAAUGUAUCCAAAACUUCCUGACUUGAGGUAUGUAGGGGAAGAUGGAACACACGGUGUAGCAGUGAAAUGCGUAGAUAUCGUGUGGAACGCCAAUGGUGAAGACAGUCUUCUGGACAUUACCUGACACUGAGGAGCGAAAGCGUGGGGAGCGAACGGGAUUAGAUACCCCGGUAGUCCACGCUGUAAACGAUGCAUACUAGGAAUAUGGAGAAUCGACCCUCUGUGUUUCGAAGCUAACGCGUUAAGUAUGCCGCCUGGGUAGUACGGCCGCAAGGCUAAAACUCAAAGGAAUUGACGGGGGCCCGCACAAGC
rnacentral:rRNA from 1 species